rnacentral:rRNA from 1 species
AGUGAACGCUGGCGGUAGGCCUAACACAUGCAAGUCGAACGGCAGCACAGUAAGAGCUUGCUCUUACGGGUGGCGAGUGGCGGACGGGUGAGGAAUACAUCGGAAUCUACUUUUUCGUGGGGGAUAACGUAGGGAAACUUACGCUAAUACCGCAUACGACCUACGGGUGAAAGCAGGGGAUCUUCGGACCUUGCGCGAUUGAAUGAGCCGAUGUCGGAUUAGCUAGUUGGCGGGGUAAAGGCCCACCAAGGCGACGAUCCGUAGCUGGUCUGAGAGGAUGAUCAGCCACACUGGAACUGAGACACGGUCCAGACUCCUACGGGAGGCAGCAGUGGGGAAUAUUGGACAAUGGGCGCAAGCCUGAUCCAACCAUACCGCGUGGGUGAAGAAGGCCUUCGGGUUGUAAAGCCCCUUUGUUGGGAAAGAAAAGCAGCAGGUUAAUACCCCGCUGUUCUGACGGUACCCAAAGAAUAAGCACCGGCUAACUUCGUG